rnacentral:rRNA from 1 species
UCAGUGUGUGUGUUAGUGGAAGCGUCUGGAAAGGCGCGCGAUACAGGGUGACAGCCCCGUACACAAAAAUGCACAUGCUGUGAGCUCGAUGAGUAGGGCGGGACACGUGGUAUCCUGUCUGAAUAUGGGGGGACCAUCCUCCAAGGCUAAAUACUCCUGACUGACCGAUAGUGAACCAGUACCGUGAGGGAAAGGCGAAAAGAACCCCGGCGAGGGGAGUGAAAAAGAACCUGAAACCGUGUACGUACAAGCAGUGGGAGCACAGAGCAAUCUGUGUGACUGCGUACCUUUUGUAUAAUGGGUCAGCGACUUAUAUUCUGUAGCAAGGUUAACCGAAUAGGGGAGCCGAAGGGAAACCGAGUCUUAACUGGGCGUUAAGUUGCAGGGUAUAGACCCGAAACCCGGUGAUCUAGCCAUGGGCAGGUUGAAGGUUGGGUAACACUAACUGGAGGACCGAACCGACUAAUGUUGAAAAAUUAGCGGAUGACUUGUGGCUGGGGGUGAAAGGCCAAUCAAACCGGGAGAUAGCUGGUUCUCCCCGAAAGCUAUUUAGGUAGCGCCUCGUGAAUUCAUCUCCGGGGGUAGAGCACUGUUUCGGCAAGGGGGUCAUCCCGACUUACCAACCCGAUGCAAACUGCGAAUACCGGAGAAUGUUAUCACGGGAGACACACGGCGGGUGCUAACGUCCGUCGUGAAGAGGGAAACAACCCAGACCGCCAGCUAAGGUCCCAAAGUCAUGGUUAAGUGGGAAACGAUGUGGGAAGGCCCAGACAGCCAGGAUGUUGGCUUAGAAGCAGCCAUCAUUUAAAGAAAGCGUAAUAGCUCACUGGUCGAGUCGGCCUGCGCGGAAGAUGUAACGGGGCUAAACCAUGCACCGAAGCUGCGGCAGCGACGCUGAUGCGUUGUUGGGUAGGGGAG